rnacentral:rRNA from 1 species
GGGUCACCUCCCACCCGUGUUUAUCGUACCUUGUUGCUUCGGCGGGCCCGCCUCACGGCCGCCGGGGGGCAUCCGCCCCCGGGCCCGCGCCCGCCGAAGACACACAAACGAACUCUUGUCUGAAGAUUGCAGUCUGAGUACUUGACUAAAUCAGUUAAAACUUUCAACAACGGAUCUCUUGGUUCCGGCAUCGAUGAAGAACGCAGCGAAAUGCGAUAAGUAAUGUGAAUUGCAGAAUUCAGUGAAUCAUCGAGUCUUUGAACGCACAUUGCGCCCCCUGGUAUUCCGGGGGGCAUGCCUGUCCGAGCGUCAUUGCUGCCCUCAAGCACGGCUUGUGUGUUGGGCUCUCGCCCCCCGCUUCCGGGGGGCGGGCCCGAAAGGCAGCGGCGGCACCGCGUCCGGUCCUCGAGCGUAUGGGGCUUCGUCACCCGCUCUGUAGGCCCGGCCGGCGCCCGCCGGCGAACACCAUCAAUCUUAACCAGGUUGACCUCGGAUCAGGUAGGGAUACCCGCUGAACUUAAGCAUAUCAUAA